UGUUGGGAGCCUUUGCGGCAUGGGAUGGGGUCGCGUCCUAUCAGCUUGAUGGCGGGGUAACGGCCCACCAUGGCUUCGACGGGUAGCCGGCCUGAGAGGGCGACCGGCCACAUUGGGACUGAGAUACGGCCCAGACUCCUACGGGAGGCAGCAGUGGGGAAUAUUGCACAAUGGGCGCAAGCCUGAUGCAGCGACGCCGCGUGAGGGAUGGAGGCCUUCGGGUUGUAAACCUCUUUUGUUAGGGAGCAAGGCAUUUUUUGUUGAGUGUACCUUUCGAAUAAGCACCGGCUAACUACGUGCCAGCAGCCGCGGUAAUACGUAGGGUGCAAGCGUUAUCCGGAAUUAUUGGGCGUAAAGGGCUCGUAGGCGGUUCGUCGCGUCCGGUGUGAAAGUCCAUCGCUUAACGGUGGAUCCGCGCCGGGUACGGGCGGGCUUGAGUGCGGUAGGGGAGACUGGAAUUCCCGGUGUAACGGUGG
rnacentral:rRNA from 1 species